UUGGUUAGAACUGGACACAGGUUGACGUCGCAACGGCGUCAACACCUUGGCUCGCCACGCCGGCAGCGAGCCGCCAACGGCAGAGUUUUUCUGCCAGACCUCAGUUGAGGUCGACGCGACAAAAACAGUCAAC
rfam:Pseudomonas fluorescens Pf0-1, complete genome.